rnacentral:tRNA from 1 species
UCCCUGGUGGCUCAGAUGGUAAAGCAUCUGCCUACAAUGCAGAAGACCUGGGUUCCAUCCCUGGGUUGGGAA